AUAAUGCUAUAAAAGUAAAGUCCAAAUGGACAAAGAACAAAUGACAAAAUCACCAAUAAUAUGAUAUGGGAUGUUAACAUAAAGUAUAAAGUAAAUGGCUUAAAGAUAAAAGCAUAAAGUAAAUGACAUAAAACAAAAGCAUAAAGUAAAUGACAUUUAAGGUAAAAAAUAUAAUACAAUAAAAUGUUAGUAAAGGAUGUUAGUAAUCAAAGAUGAAAUAUGGUUUGAUCAUUUUUUGGAGAAC
rnacentral:lncRNA from 1 species